UAUAUAUAUAAAACCAAGGAGUAUUAGCAAUUUCUUCGCUGUUUUCUCCGCUUUUUGUUUGCAGGUUUCUCUACAGAGCUCCCCCCACAGCUUUGGAAUAAAUAUUUGGCAGCUCCGAUGUUUCCUUAUGUCUGACUCCUCGCUUGGUGAGUCGUUUCCUCUUUCUCUGUUCAUCCGACAAUACUUUCCUAGCUUUCUGCUUCUUUUUUGGCCAGCUCUGCAAAGACAAUAGUGUGAAAAACUCCAUCGCUGCCUUGUUCUCAUAGCUAGCAGC